rnacentral:rRNA from 1 species
GGAUCCCUAGUAACUGCGAGUGAAGCGGGAAAAGCUCAAAUUUAAAAUCUGGCGGUCUUUAGGUCGUCCGAGUUGUAAUCUGGAGAAGCGUUUUCCGCGUCGGACCGUGCACAAGUCUCUUGGAACAGAGCGUCAUAGAGGGUGAGAAUCCCGUCCAUGGCACGGACAGCCGAUGCUUUGUGAUACGCUCUCAAAGAGUCGAGUUGUUUGGGAAUGCAGCUCAAAAUGGGUGGUAAAUUCCAUCUAAAGCUAAAUAUUGGCGAGAGACCGAUAGCGAACAAGUACCGUGAGGGAAAGAUGAAAAGCACUUUGGAAAGAGAGUUAAACAGUACGUGAAAUUGUUGAAAGGGAAACGCUUGAAGUCAGUCGCGUCUGCCGGGACUCAGCCUUGCUUCGGCUUGGUGUACUUCCCGGUUUUGGACGGGUCAACAUCGAUUUCAGCCGGCGGAUAAAGUAAGGGGGAAUGUGGCACCUUUCGGGGUGUGUUUAUAGCCCUCUUUCGUAUACGUCGGUCGGGAUCGAGGACCGCAGCGCGCCCUUCAUCGGGCCGGAGGCUUCGGCCUCACGUACCGCGCUUAGGAUGUUGGCAUAAUGGCUUUAAGCGACCCGUCUUGAAACACGGACCAAGGAGUCUAACAUGCUCGCGAGUGUUAGGGUGGAAAACCCUUGCGCGUAAUGAAAGUGAAAGUUGGGACCUCUGCAAGGAGGGCACCGACGCCCGGCCCUGAAGUUCUCUGACGGUGCUGCGGUAGAGCGCGUAUGUUGGGACCCGAAAGAUGGUGAACUAUGCCUGAAUAGGGGCGAAGCCAGAGGAAACUCUGGUGGAGGCUCGUAGCGAUUCUGACGUGCAAAUCGAUCGUCAAAUUUGGGUAUAGGGGGCGAAAGACUAAUCGAACCCAUCUAGUAGCUGGCUUCCUGCCCGAAGU